CAGUCGUACCGACGAGAAAUCAACCUUUCGAGUACGAACUUGUGGGCGUGCGUGAGUCUUUAACGGGCCUCGCUGUUUGCAAUGUUUGUCCUUUUGGGGUGUACUUUUUCGUAUGGUAGGCCAACGUCAGUUUCGAUCACCGUAAAAUGAUCGGAGGAAUGUAGCUUCGAUCUCGUAUUGAAGUGUUAUAGCUCUGGCAGAUGCGUGACCGAAACUGAGGAUUGCAACGAAUACCCUUCUGGGCUAUCCGUCUGGCCUCUGAAAGUUGCUUAGGUGUCCGAAAGCGUGCUUACGGCCAUUUAAGUUAACGGUCAAAAGGUUGAACGUGAUUACAUUCGUUAAGGACGUUGACGUAAUGGCUUUAAACGACCCGU
rnacentral:rRNA from 1 species